CUUACCUAAUUACGAAAGGUCUCGAAACAACGUUCAUGCGAUGAACGUCGAACCCAUGCAUGCCGAUUCCGCUGCCAUCUGAAAAAUUUUUGAAAUAUCAGCGGCAUGGGCGGGUUCCCAACAGUGGUAUCAGAGCCUAGGCUUCGUAGAUUAAGAUAAGAAUUAAAUAUCUAAAGGCAUAUUAGAACUGAAAAUUGAAUGAUCAUGCAUGCUGAAAAAUUCUGCAUGCAGAUUUUUCAGGGGUGCUGAUUUUUUACAUGCUGAUUUUUAUGUGAUAAAAAGAUGAUUCUAAUUGCAUUGUUAAUGGGAUUACAAAGUUUAGAAUCAUGAUUAGCAUGAUCAGCGACCUAUGUCAUGAUAUAAUCAGUUAGUUUUCAGUUCUGAAAAUUAUAAUUGUUGCAUACGGUGAUGAUCAUAGGAUUCAACCCCUUUUGGUAUCAAAUGUAAUGACCUGCGAUAUGAUCUGCGAUGUUAUGUAAUUUUUCAGAUGUUUGCAUGCAUCUUAUUUGAUGUUUUGAGAGGCCUGCGUGCCUCCUAAAAGGAGAUGUAAUUUAUUUUUAUUUUUAUUUUACAUCUGGUUGUAUUUCUGUGAUGUGAUGUACAUCAACGAUCAAGCUGAAGCAAAAGCAUGAGAUGAAAGGUGAUCCAAGCGGUUGAUGGCGAUGGGAUCAAGGGUUGAUCAAGGAUCGAAUCAAGGAGGCUUGGAACCAAUUCAAGAGUUGAAGACCACUUGAUCGAUUGAUGUGCAUGUGCUUGUAAUACGACCUAAUUAGAA
rnacentral:lncRNA from 1 species